AAGCUGUGCAGCUGCCAGCUACCAGUAAGUACGUGACAGAUGGGGGUUGGAUGGCCCUACUGCUGAGUUUCUAAACAUAAAGGCGCAACAUCGUAAGACUUCCGGAUACGCUUGCAAAGACCAAACCGACCAGGCCAGGGUUUGGGGUUUGAUACAGGGGUCAUGUCCCCACCACAUUCUGAAAUUGACUUUUUGCCCCCCCACAGUUUUAUCAUUGCAAUUUGAUACAAAAAAACGGCAAUGGUGUACUUUAGGACCAUGCGGACGCCUCCGAGCGGUCGGGUAGGCUGUUUGGAGUGGUCAGCAGGCUGUAUUUAGGAUGAAACAGACACCACAGAGUUGUCUGACAGGCUGUGUGAAGGCAAAGCUUCUGGAAGGCUGGCUGGACCAGCACAGGAGAGUUGAGCUUAGGUCAGUGUGUAUGUGUUGCGCUCAUUCACCGAGUUGUAAAAGCAAGCAGAGCAGAAACUGGCUGCUCAUUAGUUUACUGAUUUAGCUGUCAAGACCUGAAUCAAACGAUGAAACCAGAUGGCCAAAUGAUUGAAGACUGAUAUUCUGACAUUCUUUUCAUUGCAGCGCUUCACUGUCAUGGUGCACAGUAGAGAUCUGCGCAGAACUGAUUUCUUCAUCCUGCUCCCACCACACCCGCUGGCUUUCGGUCUGACUCCUACCAGCUACUGCAAGAACUGGUCCCAAAAACAACCGAAGUCCCGCAAUAUAAUUUUUUACAUGCUGUUUAGACCAGGCACAAAGAUGCAUCCGUGUGUUGAUUUUGUACAUCCACACCAGACGCAAUCCAGACACGCAGGUUGAAAUAUCAAAACAAACUCUGUCCCA